rnacentral:rRNA from 1 species
UACGGAGGGUGCAAGCGUUAAUCGGAAUUACUGGGCGUAAAGCGCGCGUGGCGGUUUUUUAAGUCGGAUGUGAAAGCCCCGGGCUCAACCUGGGAACUGCGUCCGAUACUGGAAGACUAGAAUGCGGGAGAGGGAGGUAGAAUUCCAUGUGUAGCNGUGAAAUGCGUAGAUAUAUGGAGGAAUACCAGUGGCGAAGGCGGCNUCCUGGNNCGACAUUGACGCUGAGGUGCGAAAGCGUGGGGAGCAAACGGG